GGGGCCGUAGCUCAAUUGGGAGAGCGCUGUGUUCGCAAUGCAGAGGUUGUGGGUUCGAUCCCCAUCGGCUCCA
rnacentral:tRNA from 1 species